rnacentral:rRNA from 1 species
UACGAAGGGGGCUAGCGUUGCUCGGAAUCACUGGGCGUAAAGCGCACGUAGGCGGGUCUUUAAGUCAGGGGUGAAAUCCUGGAGCUCAACUCCAGAACUGCCUUUGAUACUGAGGAUCUCGAGUCCGGGAGAGGUGAGUGGAACUCCGAGUGUAGAGGUGAAAUUCGUAGAUAUUCGGAAGAACACCAGUGGCGAAGGCGGCUCUCUGGGACGGUACUGACGCUGAGACGCGAAAGCGUGGGGAGCAAACAGG